GACGAACGCUGGCGGCGUGCUUAACACAUGCAAGUCGAACGGAAAGGCCCUGCUUUUGUGGGGUGCUCGAGUGGCGAACGGGUGAGUAACACGUGAGUAACCUGCCCUUGACUUUGGGAUAACUUCAGGAAACUGGGGCUAAUACCGGAUAGGAGCUCCUGCUGCAUGGUGGGGGUUGGAAAGUUUCGGCGGUUGGGGAUGGACUCGCGGCUUAUCAGCUUGUUGGUGGGGUAGUGGCUUACCAAGGCUUUGACGGGUAGCCGGCCUGAGAGGGUGACCGGCCACAUUGGGACUGAGAUACGGCCCAGACUCCUACGGGAGGCAACAGUGGGGAAUAUUGCACAAUGGGCGGAAGCCUGAUGCAGCAACGCCGCGUGCGGGAUGACGGCCUUCGGGUUGUAAACCGCUUUCGCCUGUGCCGAAGCGUGAGUGACGGUAAUGGGUAAAGAAGCACCGGCUAACUACGUG
rnacentral:rRNA from 1 species